UACAGAGGGGGCAAGCGUUGUUCGGAAUUACUGGGCGUAAAGGGCGCGUAGGCGGCCUGUUAAGUCGAACGUGAAAUCCCUAGGCUCAACCUAGGAACUGCGUCCGAUACUGGCAGGCUUGAAUCCGGGAGAGGGAUGCGGAAUUCCAGGUGUAGCGGUGAAAUGCGUAGAUAUCUGGAGGAACACCGGUGGCGAAGGCGCAUCCUGGACCGGCAUUGACGCUGAGGCGCGAAAGCCAGGGGAGCAAACGGG
rnacentral:rRNA from 1 species